CCGCAAGGAGCGACCUAGGGCAAAACCGGUAACUGGGGCUAAGUCGUAACAAGGUAGCCGUACCGGAAGGUGCGGCUGGAACACCUCCUUUCUGGAGC
rnacentral:rRNA from 1 species